UCAAGAUUGACAACAGACAACCGAUAGUUAGGAUUUUACCAUGCACUAGCGAUUUUACAUUUGAUAUAGCGGCAAUCGACGAUCCUCUAACCAACCGGAAGAAGUCGGUCACAGCGCUGAGAUAUUGGGAUUCUCGAGUCUUCUUGAAUGAUGGCUGCUACAUGGCGUGCCACUGACAUACAGAGGGAAAGGGAGAGAUGGCACACUUAGCCAACAUACAUAGGGAGAGGGAGAGAAAAAGAACAAAGAUGAUGCCAGAGAGGGAUGGUGAAGGAGAGGAUUGACGUCUUACCUGUGAAGAAAAACAAUCGCCCCACCACGUUGUUCUUUGACAAAGAGAAACAAAAGGAGAAUAGAAAGAGAAAGCGCUAACGAGCAAAAAAAAGUUGAUGGUAAAAAGUCGGACUCGCUGAGGUAACAACAAGAUUUAGUGUAAGGAUUGUGGAGUUUCGGGCAUAAGGUUUUGGUGUUCAACGUUUAAGGUUUAGGGUUUUAGGUAUAUGUUUUGUUUAUGACGUUAAGAUUUUAGGGUUUGAUGUUUGAUGAAUACAUGUUGAUGGACACACGAAGAAGAACGCGCGUGGUUCGGUGGUUGCGCUGGUGACUUCUGCAAGAAACUUCUCCUGGACGCCAUGGUGGAUCACCUGUUGCCUCUUACCUGUUAGUACGCUGUUGCUCGAUUGCAUUUACUGUCCUAAAUGACUGGUUUCGAUUUUAGGGCCUCUCUCUCUUUCUCUCUCUUACCUUGUGAUGGCUCUUCCUAUCCUGCUUUUGAUAUUGGAUGCACAUGAACAUGCAUUUUUAGCGAAGGAAAAAGGUACCUACCGGCAAUCAUUGCAGUUUUUCUCAAAACCGCAAGGUUUCAUCUCCUUUCAUUCCUAGGGUUCAUAACUUCAUAUGCAAUAUUCGCACGCUCCUUAUUAGUGUAAGCGUCGUGCAUCCUGGCUGAGGAUCCAAAUUAAUUUCUGAUCUAGACGAGGCACUGCAUUGGUUGUGGGAUUGUCAUGGAUUCGGGAGACUCGCAUGCCAAUGAAAAUGGCUGUUAUAAAAACAAGGCUGCUGCCAUGGGCGGGUUCCAUCGUGGCAACAGUGGGGCUGCAGGAAAAGAACAGAUAGGCGACCCUGUAGGGGAAAGCGGUAAGAGAGUUAAGGCAUCUGUACAGGAUCUAACUGAGAAUGCUAUCCAGCAAAAAGAUGAGGCUUCGGAAAUGGGAACUGCUGCCCGCGGUGUUUGCUCGAGAAAUGGCAGCGUCAGUGGUCAUCCCGGAGAAAAUCCCAACUCCGACAUUCUGACUGCAGUCUCCACUCAGUCACGGCUACAGAGAAGAGCACAUGGAGACGGUCAUUUGCAAGAUCUGGUGAGCUGGUACCAUCAACAAGAUCAGCCUGAAGUUACUGAGAAGUGGUUCUGCAUCAACUGUACCAUGCCGAACUUUGACGAUGUUCUCCAUUGCGAUGUAUGCUGUCUCUUCACUGAAACUUGGACGUUCGUCGGCUUACUGGUUCUGCGGGGAAAUCCAGGAAUCAGAGAUACUUACCAAGGGGUCUUUUGCUUCUACUGUUACUCGAGAAGGUUUUCCUGAUGACGCAGAGGCGAUCGCUGGAAGUACAAACAAUAUGUCAGCAGAUCAGAAGGAUACAGUAACUGCAUUUAUAGCAGCUAAUUUUGCAGGAUCGUAAGCAUUCACAUGGACACUCCUAAGAAGUGGAGCAACCGUGUUUCAAAAACUUCAGGACAUGGUUAUGGAUCUGGGCACCUCAAAAAAAUGCUUUGGCUUCAAAGGGAGCUUUCUCCUACCAACCAAGAACAACAGCUUCAGAGAAAGAGAGAGAGAGAAAGAGAGAGAGACUGCAAAGGAAAAAAAAGCCCUAGAUCCUGAAAAUAAAACAAUAAAAUAUAUCUGCUUGAUGUAUUCUUUACUUGGAAAGACUAAAGCUGAGUUCUUUAGAAUGAUACAAAAAAACAAAGAAUAUAUGAAACACCUCCUGGAACCAGAUUUGUCAAAAGGAUGUCUCGGAUCUUAAUAACAACACAUAUGGUAGGGGUUAACUGUGUAUUGAAAAUCCUCAUGAAGAAGAAAUAACAAGACUAAAAUUAUUUACAGUGAAAGAGAAAGACUGUUUCUUCAUGGUAUGAUAAACCAAAGAAAAGAGGCCAGGCACUAACAUUUGAUGAAUCUGAAGUUUCUCUGAACACCAUCAAACACCUCAACUUGGGAGAGAAAAAAUAAACAUAGCUUAAAAACUUGAAUUACAUAUCAAGUAUCAGUAAAACCACAGAAAAGAAAUACAGUGAAUUUGGAGUUACUUUGAAAUUUGAAUAGAAUGAAACGCCUCAUCUGAGGGCUGAGAAAUAAAUGCAAAUUAAAUGCUCAAGCUACACAUCCUCAGAAUCAGCUUUAGGUGGCAUCUUGAAAAAAUUCCAACACCGAACGUGAAAAUUACAGUCAAACAUGACAAAAAAAUGAAGUUAUAUUCCAUGCAUGAUAAUGCGCACUCACAAAUGCAAGAAACAAGAUCGGAAAAGUGUAAAAACGCCAAAAAAAGGACUCACAGCAUCAGACAUUGACUUCCGUUUUUCACCUCCUGCUUUGCCGACCUUUAAUUUGGAGAAAAUACUAAGAAUUAAUUAUUAGAGAUUUAACAAACAUUAGAACUAAAAUUUAUAGCCUGUAGCCAGAAAAACUCACCACUGACACAGACUUCACAUUAGGAUGCUCUUGCUUGUAUGUCUUCCUAAAUUCUUCCCUGCAGAAAGAAAAUGAAAAGCAACGUAAAGCCUAUAACAAAUUCAAAACAACAUGAACAAUUGAGAAUUGUAAAAUAACUUUUCUCAAAGGUGCUCAAAUCCAUGCUACCAACCUAAAGAAGAAUGACAAAUAAGGAGGAGACGGAAUUUACAGAAAUCCAGGAAUCAGAGAUACUUACCAAGGGGUCUUUUGCUUCUACUGUUACUCGAGAAGGUUUUCCUGAUGACGCAGAGGCGAUCGCUGGAAGUACAAACAAUAUGUCAGCAGAUCAGAAGGAUACAGUAACUGCAUUUAUAGCAGCUAAUUUUGCAGGAUCGUAAGCAUUCACAUGGACACUCCUAAGAAGUGGAGCAACCGUGUUUCAAAAACUUCAGGACAUGGUUAUGGAUCUGGGCACCUCAAAAAAAUGCUUUGGCUUCAAAGGGAGCUUUCUCCUACCAACCAAGAACAACAGCUUCAGAGAAAGAGAGAGAGAGAAAGAGAGAGAGACUGCAAAGGAAAAAAAAGCCCUAGAUCCUGAAAAUAAAACAAUAAAAUAUAUCUGCUUGAUGUAUUCUUUACUUGGAAAGACUAAAGCUGAGUUCUUUAGAAUGAUACAAAAAAACAAAGAAUAUAUGAAACACCUCCUGGAACCAGAUUUGUCAAAAGGAUGUCUCGGAUCUUAAUAACAACACAUAUGGUAGGGGUUAACUGUGUAUUGAAAAUCCUCAUGAAGAAGAAAUAACAAGACUAAAAUUAUUUACAGUGAAAGAGAAAGACUGUUUCUUCAUGGUAUGAUAAACCAAAGAAAAGAGGCCAGGCACUAACAUUUGAUGAAUCUGAAGUUUCUCUGAACACCAUCAAACACCUCAACUUGGGAGAGAAAAAAUAAACAUAGCUUAAAAACUUGAAUUACAUAUCAAGUAUCAGUAAAACCACAGAAAAGAAAUACAGUGAAUUUGGAGUUACUUUGAAAUUUGAAUAGAAUGAAACGCCUCAUCUGAGGGCUGAGAAAUAAAUGCAAAUUAAAUGCUCAAGCUACACAUCCUCAGAAUCAGCUUUAGGUGGCAUCUUGAAAAAAUUCCAACACCGAACGUGAAAAUUACAGUCAAACAUGACAAAAAAAUGAAGUUAUAUUCCAUGCAUGAUAAUGCGCACUCACAAAUGCAAGAAACAAGAUCGGAAAAGUGUAAAAACGCCAAAAAAAGGACUCACAGCAUCAGACAUUGACUUCCGUUUUUCACCUCCUGCUUUGCCGACCUUUAAUUUGGAGAAAAUACUAAGAAUUAAUUAUUAGAGAUUUAACAAACAUUAGAACUAAAAUUUAUAGCCUGUAGCCAGAAAAACUCACCACUGACACAGACUU